rnacentral:rRNA from 1 species
UCAAGUGAAUAAGCGCAUAUGGUGGAUGCCUUGGCAGUAAGAGGCGAUGAAGGACGUAGUAGCCUGCGAUAAGCUUCGGGGAGCUGGCAAACAAGCGAUGAUCCGGAGAUUUCCGAAUGGGGAAACCCAACCUUUCGAGGUUAUCGUAUACUGAAUUCAUAGGUAUACGAGGCGAACCUGGGGAACUGAAACAUCUAAGUACCCAGAGGAAAAGAAAUCAACCGAGAUUCCGUCAGUAGCGGCGAGCGAAAGCGGAACAGCCCAGUUACUAAAUCAUUAUUUGUUCUAGCAGAAUGUUCUGGAAAGUUCAGCCAUAGCGGGUGAUAGCCCCGUACGCGAAAGAGUAAAUAAUGUGGGUAACGAUGAGUAGGUCGGGACACGUGGUAUCUUGACUGAACAUGGGGGGACCAUCCUCCAAGGCUAAAUACUCCUUACUGACCGAUAGCGAACCAGUACCGUGAGGGAAAGGUGAAAAGAACCCCGGCGAGGGGAGUGAAAUAGAACCUGAAACCGUAUGCGUACAAGCAGUAGGAGCAUUUCUUCGGAAGUGUGACUGCGUACCUUUUGUAUAAUGGGUCAGCGACUUACUUGUUGUAGCGAGCUUAACCGUCUAGGGGAGGCGUAGGGAAACCGAGUCCGAAAUGGGCGUUUAGUUGCAACGAGUAGACCCGAAACCGAACGAUCUAUCUAUGGCCAGGGUGAAGGUCAGGUAACACUGACUGGAGGCCCGAACCCACUAAUGUUGAAAAAUUAGGGGAUGAGCUGUGGAUAGGAGUGAAAGGCUAAUCAAGCUCGGAGAUAGCUGGUUCUCCUCGAAAGCUAUUUAGGUAGCGCCUCGUGUAUGACUCUUGGGGGUAGAGCACUGUUUCGGCUAGGGGGCCAUCCCGGCCUACCAAACCGAGGCAAACUCCGAAUACCAAGAAGUUUUAGCACGGGAGACACACUGCGGGUGAUAAGGUCCGUGGUGGAAAGGGAAACAGCCCAGAUCGCCAGCUAAGGUCCCAAAAUCACAGUUAAGUGGAAAACGAUGUGGGAAGGCUCAGACAGCCAGGAGGUUGGCUUAGAAGCAGCCAUCCUUUAAAGAAAGCGUAAUAGCUCACUGGUCGAGUCGUCCUGCGCGGAAGAUUUAACGGGGCUCAAACUGUGUACCGAAGCUGCGGCAUCAGAAGACAGAUCUGUCUUCUGAUGGGUAGAGGAGCGUUCUGUAAGCCUGUGAAGGUGAAUCGAGAGGUUUGCUGGAGGUAUCAGAAGUGCGAAUGCUGACAUAAGUAACGAUAAUGUGGGUGAAAAACCCACACGCCGAAAGUCUAAGGUUUCCUGCGCAACGUUAAUCGGCGCAGGGUGAGUCGGCCCCUAAGGCGAGGCAGAAAUGCGUAGUCGAUGGGAAACGGGUUAAUAUUCCCGUACUUUACAAUACUGCGAUGGGAGGACGGAGAAGGCUAGGUCAGCCACCCGAUGGUUGUGGUGGUUUAAGUGUGUAGGAAGGGUUCUUUGGCAAAUCCGGGAACUCAAUUCCGAGACAUGAUGACGAAGUACGAACUUGUUCGUGCAAAGUGAUUGAUGCCACGCUUCCAGGAAAAGUCCCUAAGCUUCAGGUAUUGUAAAACUGUACUAUAAACCGACACAGGUGGACAGGUAGAGAAUACCAAGGCGCUUGAGAGAACUUGGGUGAAGGAACUAGGCAAAAUGGCACCGUAACUUCGGGAGAAGGUGCGCCCUUGGUAAGUGAAGGUCCUUGCGACUGGAGCUGAAAAGGGUUGCAGAUACCAGGUGGCUGCGACUGUUUACUAAAAACACAGCACUCUGCAAACUCGUAAGAGGACGUAUAGGGUGUGACGCCUGCCCGGUGCCGGAAGGUUAAGUGAUGGGGUUAGCCCUCGGGCGAAGCUCUUGAUCGAAGCCCCGGUAAACGGCGGCCGUAACUAUAACGGUCCUAAGGUAGCGAAAUUCCUUGUCGGGUAAGUUCCGACCUGCACGAAUGGCGUAACGAUAGCCACGCUGUCUCCACCCAAGACUCAGUGAAAUUGAAAUCGCUGUGAAGAUGCAGCGUACCCGCGGCUAGACGGAAAGACCCCGUGAACCUUUACUACAGCUUUACACUGAACUUUGAAUAUGCCUGUGUAGGAUAGGUGGGAGGCUUUGAAGCUGGAGCGCUAGCUCCAGUGGAGCCAACCUUGAAAUACCACCCUGGCGUGUUUGAGGUUCUAACCCUGUCCCGUAAUCCGGGUCGGGAACAGUGUAUGGUGGGUAGUUUGACUGGGGCGGUCUCCUCCAAAAGAGUAACGGAGGAGUACAAAGGUACCCUCAGCACGGUCGGAAAUCGUGCAUUGUGUGCAAAGGCAUAAGGGUGCUUGACUGCGAGACUGACAAGUCGAGCAGGUACGAAAGUAGGUCUUAGUGAUCCGGUGGUCCUUUAUGGAAGGGCCAUCGCUCAACGGAUAAAAGGUACUCCGGGGAUAACAGGCUGAUACCACCCAAGAGUUCAUAUCGACGGUGGUGUUUGGCACCUCGAUGUCGGCUCAUCACAUCCUGGGGCUGUAGCCGGUCCCAAGGGCAUGGCUGUUCGCCAUUUAAAGUGGUACGUGAGCUGGGUUUAGAACGUCGUGAGACAGUUCGGUCCCUAUCUGCCGUGGGCGUUGGAGAUUUGAGAGGAGCUGCUCCUAGUACGAGAGGACCGGAGUGGACGUACCUCUGGUGUUCCGGUUGUCACGCCAGUGGCAUUGCCGGGUAGCUAAGUACGGACGGGAUAACCGCUGAAAGCAUCUAAGCGGGAAGCCCCCCUCAAGAUGAGAUCUCCCGGACCUUUAAGGUCCCUAAAGAUUCGUUGAAGACGACAACGUUGAUAGGCAGGGUGUGGAAGCUCAGUAAUGAGUGAAGCUAACCUGUACUAAUUAAUCGUGCGACUUGACUAU